AGAGUUUGAUCAUGGCUCAGAACGAACGCUGGCGGCAGGCUUAACACAUGCAAGUCGAACGCCCUGUUUACAGGGAGUGGCAGACGGGUGAGUAACGCGUGGGAAUUUACCGAGUAGUGUGGAAUAACUCAGAGAAAUUUGAGCUAAUACCGCAUACGCCCUUCGGGGGAAAGAUUUAUCGCUAUUCGAUAGGCCCGCGUUAGAUUAGCUAGUUGGUGGGGUAAUGGCCUACCAAGGCGACGAUCUAUAGCUGGUCUGAGAGGAUGAUCAGCCACACUGGGACUGAGACACGGCCCAGACUCCUACGGGAGGCAGCAGUGAGGAAUAUUGGACAAUGGGGGCAACCCUGAUCCAGCCAUGCCGCGUGAGUGAUGACGGCCUUAGGGUUGUAAAGCUCUUUCGCUAGGGAAGAUAAUGACGGUACCUAGUAAAGAAGCCCCGGCUAACUUCGUGCCAGCAGCCGCGGUAAUACGAAGGGGGCUAGCGUUGUUCGGAAUCACUGGGCGUAAAGCGCACGUAGGCGGAUCUUUAAGUCAGGGGUGAAAUCCCAGAGCUCAACUCUGGAACUGCCUUUGAUACUGGGGAUCUUGAGUCCG
rnacentral:rRNA from 1 species